UCUCCGUUGGUGAACCAGCGGAGGGGUCAUUACAGGAUCGAAAGACUCCUAUAACCCCUGUGAACUUACUACAAAUACGUUGCUUCGGCGGGUGCCCCGGGUCUCCCGGGGCGUUCAGCCCGCCGGCAGCCUUCAAAUUCUGUUUCUUUGCGUUGGCAUCUCGAGUAUACAAAAAUAAGUUAAAACUUUCAACAACGGAUCUCUUGGUUCUG
rnacentral:misc_RNA from 1 species